rnacentral:rRNA from 1 species
UCGAGAAUUUUUCUCAAUGGGGGAAACCCUGAAGGAGCGACGCCGCGUGGGGGAUGAAUGGCUUCGGCCCGUAAACCCCUGUCAUUUGCGAACAAACCUUACAUUUUAAUAGAGUGUGAGCUGAUUGUAGCGAAAGAGGAAGGGACGGCUAACUCUGUGCCAGCAGCCGCGGUAAUACAGAGGUCCCAAGCGUUGUUCGGAUUCACUGGGCGUAAAGGGUGCGUAGGUGGUUGGGUAAGUUUGAUGUGAAAGCUCUGGGCUCAACCCAGAAAUGGCAUUGAAUACUAUCCAGCUAGAGGAGUGGAGGGGGGACUGGAAUACUUGGUGUAGCAGUGAAAUGCGUAGAUAUCAAGUGGAACACCAGUGGCGAAGGCGAGUCCCUGGACACUUCCUGACACUGAGGCACGAAAGCUAGGGGAGCAAACAG